ensembl:lncRNA
AUGGUACAGGGUAACCCCAAACAGUUUCAGCUGGACUUUCACCUAAUCAAAGAAUUAGCCCAGCAGGAGAAGCUCUCCCUUGAUAAAGAUACCCCCACCCCGAGCGGGUCAGACCAGACCUCUUCAUUACGUAACCCCACAGACGAGCAACCCCCAGCGGAGAGUCAACCUCCCAGCACAGAUUACCACUCCCUCAUUGAAAUGAAGGACAAAUUCACCCAGCUGGAGGUAAAGCAGGUGGAGCUGGAACAGCAGGUAAUUACACUUCAGUCAGCACAGACCCAGACAACAGUCCAGCACAACAAGACCCCCUUAACCAGACCUGGAAUGCUGGAGGUGGAGAGAGACAUAUCUGCACUCUGGACAGUGGUGAGACAACUACAACAGGAGAAAGAGGAGAAGAACAGAGCACUCGAGGAGAGGAUCAGACUGCUUGUGCAGGAGAGGUUGAGGGGGAUGGAGGAGAGGGUGAGGGGGACGGAGGAGAGGUUGAGGGGGACGGUGUGUGACAGAGAACAACCCACUAGAGAGGUGGCCACCCCCACAGAGAAGCCAGCAGAACAGCCCACCUCAGCACCCGACAAAAGUCUCGACACCACAGCAGAACAGUCCACACCAGACCCUGAUCAUAGAGUUGACAUCACAGCAGAACAGACAAAUGAAGAACCCCAAGCCCAGAGGCUCUCACCCCCUCUGAGCACCCCCCCUGUCAGCCACCCUGAUAGCCCUUCUGACAACCCCCCCACACCCACUGAGGACAAACACAAGACACAGAUUGUACUACUUAUGGACUCAAAUGGGAAAUAUAUAGAAGAAAAAAACAUUUUUCCCAAACACAGUGUGUCUAAACUCUGGUGUCCAAACACCCAGCGCGCCCUCGACCUUCUGUCUAAGGACCAACUAGGCUCACCCAGCCACAUAAUAAUACACACAGGCACAAACGACCUGAGAGCACAGCAGGAAAGGGUGGCCACAGCACUGAAGGGAGUGAUUGAAAAGGCUUCUUCUACUUUCCCCAACGCACAAGUGGUUAUCUCCACCCUGCUACCACGAAAAUACUUCCACCCUGCCACAAUACAGCGGGUAAAUGCAAGUAUUUCCCGUGACUGUGCCUCAAAACCAAAUGUUUUCCUGGCCCACCACUCCACCCUGGACUUGAACAGCCUAUAUGACCAGGUCCAUCUCUACAAGGCAGCAGUGCCCACCUUUGCCCGAACUCUAAAGGACAUCGCUCUCAAACGUAUCCCCAACACUUCACACAGGAGCAACAGAUCAAUAGACACCCCACCCAGACCAGCGAGACACCCUCCCAGAACUGCAGGACCCCCCCUGGACCUACACAUAGAGGACCCACGCCAAGAGGAAUUACAUCCAGACCACAGCACACCCAGACACAUCCACACCCCCACCCCAACCAAUCAACACCCCCCCACGUCAACCAUUCCCACACCCCAUUUAGGCCCCCUCAGAUCAGACCUAUGCCACUCCUGCCCACCCCAUGCACCCCACCCCGCAAAGAGGGCCUCAACAUGGAAGCCACACAUACGCCAAGGUAGUGAGCGGGCAAACAGUCCCAACCCCCACUCUCACACUCGCCCAAGCCAAUGGCAUGUACCAGAUGCUCAGCAAGCUCUGCUCACACUUACUGGCCUGAGGCCAAACCACGACCAACAACAUUGGACAACAUUGGACACCAACAACACACGGACCCACUGGUUGCCCUCUAGGUUACAGAGAGCUGGUAGUCCCAUCCACCAAACUACCAGGUGUGAAACAGGGAAGGGACUCAGGGGGGGUAUGCUAAUUUGGUAUAGAGCACACCUAACUCACUCCAUUAAAUUAAUUAAAACAGGAACAUUCAGGAACAUUCUACAUUUGGCUAGAAAUUCAAAAGGAAAUUAUCCUAACAGAGAAAAAUGUCCUCCUGUGUGCUACCUAUAUGCUACCUAUGUGCUACCUAUAUCCCCCCACUAG